CCUGGCUCAGGAUGAACGCUAGCGACAGGCUUAACACAUGCAAGUCGAGGGGCAGCGGGGUGUAGCAAUACACCGCCGGCGACCGGCGCACGGGUGAGUAACGCGUAUGCAACUUGCCUAUCAGAGGGGGAUAACCCGGCGAAAGUCGGACUAAUACCGCAUGAAGCAGGGGUCCCGCAUGGGGAUAUUUGCUAAAGAUUCAUCGCUGAUAGAUAGGCAUGCGUUCCAUUAGGCAGUUGGCGGGGUAACGGCCCACCAAACCGACGAUGGAUAGGGGUUCUGAGAGGAAGGUCCCCCACAUUGGUACUGAGACACGGACCAAACUCCUACGGGAGGCAGCAGUGAGGAAUAUUGGUCAAUGGGCGUAAGCCUGAACCAGCCAAGUCGCGUGAGGGAUGAAGGUUCUAUGGAUCGUAAACCUCUUUUAUAAGGGAAUAAAGUGCGGGACGUGUCCCGUUUUGUAUGUACCUUAUGAAUAAGGAUCGGCUAACUCCGUGCCAGCAGCCGCGGUAAUACGGAGGAUCCGAGCGUUAUCCGGAUUUAUUGGGUUUAAAGGGUGCGUAGGCGGCCUUUUAAGUCAGCGGUGAAAGUCUGUGGCUCAACCAUAGAAUUGCCGUUGAAACUGGGGGGCUUGAGUAUGUUUGAGGCAGGCGGAAUGCGUGGUGUAGCGGUGAAAUGCUUAGAUAUCACGCAGAACCCCGAUUGCGAAGGCAGCCUGCCAAGCCAUGACUGACGCUGAUGCACGAAAGCGUGGGAUCAAACAGGAUUAGAUACCCUGGUAGUCCACGCAGUAAACGAUGAUCACUAGCUGUUUGCGAUACAUUGUAAGCGGCACAGCGAAAGCGUUAAGUGAUCCACCUGGGGAGUACGCCGGCAACGGUGAAACUCAAAGGAAUUGACGGGGGCCCGCACAAGCGGAGGAACAUGUGGUUUAAUUCGAUGAUACGCGAGGAACCUUACCCGGGUUUGAACGCAUCGGACCGAGGUGGAAACACCUUUUCUAGCAAUAGCCGUUUGCGAGGUGCUGCAUGGUUGUCGUCAGCUCGUGCCGUGAGGUGUCGGCUUAAGUGCCAUAACGAGCGCAACCCUUGCCACUAGUUACUAACAGGUAAAGCUGAGGACUCUGGUGGGACUGCCAGCGUAAGCUGCGAGGAAGGCGGGGAUGACGUCAAAUCAGCACGGCCCUUACAUCCGGGGCGACACACGUGUUACAAUGGCGUGGACAAAGGGAAGCCACCUGGCGACAGGGAGCGAAUCCCCAAACCACGUCUCAGUUCGGAUCGGAGUCUGCAACCCGACUCCGUGAAGCUGGAUUCGCUAGUAAUCGCGCAUCAGCCAUGGCGCGGUGAAUACGUUCCCGGGCCUUGCACACACCGC
rnacentral:rRNA from 1 species